AGUGAUGCGCUCCUGUUUUCCCUCCGUAGUUUCACUCCAGUGUUUUGUGUCAAUGCUUCUGUUAAAUUCACAGUGACACUCCCUACAACGGGGAUUAGACAGAUGAACUGCAGCCCCAAGAUGCCAAAGCCUUAAAACCAGAACCGUGGGGAGACAUCAACACUUAGUUAUCCUGUACUGACCAAAAAUGGAAUAAAUUGCCUCAGGACGAUAUCCUACAUAUGUUUUUGCCCCGCAUGAGGAUCUCCUGUACUUCUGAUGUGAAGAUGGGGAAGGGCCUUUCAUUGUGGAUUCUACGAUGAAAGGAUGACUUUUGAUGUCCAGUGUGGCUGGUGGGGGGUGUCUCAGCUCUUGAUGAUGGCCAAGUUUUUUUUUAGGUGAAGUCGUUACAGGAGAAAAUUCCACAAAUAAAACUGCCAUAUUUUCAAUCUAGCGAA